rnacentral:rRNA from 1 species
UACAGGGGGUGCAAACGUUGCUCGGAAUUAUUGGGCGUAAAGCGCACGUAGGCGGUUCGUUAUGUCGGAUGUGAAAGCCCUUGGCUCAACUGAGGAAGUGCAUCCGAAACUGGCGAGCUAGAGUAUGUAAGAGGGUCGCGGAAUUCCCGGUGUAGAGGUGAAAUUCGUAGAUAUCGGGAGGAACACCGGUGGCGAAGGCGGCGACCUGGGACAAUACUGACGCUGAGGUGCGAAAGCGUGGGGAGCAAACGGG